rnacentral:rRNA from 1 species
UUUACCUGGAUAACCGUGGUAAUUCUAGAGCUAAUACAUGCUAAAAACCUCGACUUCGGAAGGGGUGUAUUUAUUAGAUAAAAAACCAAUGCCCUUCGGGGCUCCUUGGUGAUUCAUAAUAACUUAACGAAUCGCAUGGCCUUGCGCCGGCGAUGGUUCAUUCAAAUUUCUGCCCUAUCAACUUUCGAUGGUAAGAUAGUGGCUUACCAUGGUCUCAACGGGUAACGGGGAAUUAGGGUUCUAUUCCGGAGAGGGAGCCUGAGAAACGGCUACCACAUCCAAGGAAGGCAGCAGGCGCGCAAAUUACCCAAUCCCAAUUCGGGGAGGUAGUGACAAUAAAUACUGAUACGGGGCUCUUUCGGGUCUCGUAAUUGGAAUGAGUACAAUCUAAAUCCCUUAACGAGGAACAAUUGGAGGGCAAGUCUGGUGCCAGCAGCCGCGGUAAUUCCAGCUCCAAUAGCGUAUAUUAAAGUUGUUGCCGUUAAAAAGCUCGUAGUUGAACCUUGGACCUGGCUGAUCUGUCCUCCUAAUCGAGCGCACGGAUUCGGUCGGGUCUUUCCUUCUGGGGAGCCCUAUGCCCUUCACUGGGUGUAGUGGGGAACCAGGACUUUUACCUUGAAAAAAUUAGAGUGUUCAAAGCAGGCCUUUGCUCGAAUACAUUAGCAUGGAAUAAUAGAAUAGGACAUCGGUUCUAUUUUGUUGGUUUCUAGGACCGCUGUAAUGAUUAAUAGGGAUAGUCGGGGGCGUCAGUAUUCAAUUGUCAGAGGUGAAAUUCUUGGAUUUAUUGAAGACUAACUACUGCGAAAGCAUUCGCCAAGGAUGUUUUCAUUAAUCAGUGAACGAAAGUUAGGGGAUCGAAGACGAUCAGAUACCGUCGUAGUCUUAACCAUAAACUAUGCCGACUAGGGAUCGGACGGUGGUUUUUUUAUGCCCCGUUCGGCACCUUACGAGAAAUCAAAGUUUUUGGGCUCGGGGGGGAGUAUGGUCGCAAGGCUGAAACUUAAAGAAAUUGACGGAAGGGCACCACCAGGCGUAAACUCACAGUUUCCUACAAGCCGUAGUUAACUCUGCGCCCGUCGCCUGAUAAAGGUCGGGUGGUGUGUCGUUAAAGGCGAGUCCCCGGGGAGGUCCGUUCUGGAUCCCUCCCCGCGGGGCGACAUCCUCAAAUUGUUCGGGAAACCCCUGAAGCACGUGUACUACUAACCCGGAGUUCGAAAGGCUCCGGGGGCGCGGGUAACGACCGGCGGUACAGUAACAACGUCAUGUGUAUAGGGCAAUCCGCAGCCAAGCAUCCGAGUCCCAGUGGUGGAUAGGAUGAAGGUUCAACGACUAGACGGGGAUGGGCAUCAGAUUGCUGUCCUCGACGGCCUGGAUGCUUAAGAUAUAGUCUAAUCCCCGGGGAGACCCGGCGGUAUUUUACAUACAGUAGGUCCUUAUUAAAUGGGAGCCUGCGGCUUAAUUUGACUCAACACGGGGAAACUCACCAGGUCCAGACAUGCUUAGGAUUGACAGAUUGAUAGCUCUUUCUUGAUUGUAUGGGUGGUGGUGCAUGGCCGUUCUUAGUUGGUGGAGUGAUUUGUCUGCUUAAUUGCGAUAACGAACGAGACCUUGACCUGCUAAAUAGCCAGGUUGACUUUUGUCGGCCGCCGGCUUCUUAGAGGGACUUUUGGCUCAAGCCAAUGGAAGUACGAGGCAAUAACAGGUCUGUGAUGCCCUUAGAUGUUCUGGGCCGCACGCGCGCUACACUGACAGAGCCAGCGAGUACAUCACCUUGGCCGAAAGGUCUGGGUAAUCUUGUUAAACUCUGUCGUGCUGGGGAUAGAGCAUUGCAAUUAUUGCUCUUCAACGAGGAAUGCCUAGUAAGCGCAAGUCAUCAGCUUGCGUUGAUUACGUCCCUGCCCUUUGUACACACCGCCCGUCGCUACUACCGAUUGAAUGGCUCAGUGAGGCCUUGGGACUGGCUCAGAGAGGUCGGCAACGACCACUCAGAGCCGGAAACUUGGUCAAACUUGGUCAUUUAGAGGAAG